rnacentral:rRNA from 1 species
UACGAAGGGGCUAGUGUUGCUCGGAAUCACUGGGCGUAAAGCGCACGUAGGCGGAUCUUUAAGUCAGGGGUGAAAUCCCAAGGCUCAACCUUGGAACUGCCUUUGAUACUGGGGAUCUCGAGUCCGGAAGAGGUGAGUGGAACUGCGAGUGUAGAGGUGAAAUUCGUAGAUAUUCGCAAGAACACCAGUGGCGAAGGCGGCUCACUGGUCCGGUACUGACGCUGAGGUGCGAAAGCGUGGGGAGCAACAGG